CUGAAGAAUUCCAAGCUCAAAACCUUUCACCCCCGAAGAAUUCCAAAAUUCCAAGCUCAAAACCCUUUACCCCUAAAGAAUUCCAAGCUCAAAACCUUUAACCCCUGAAGAAUUCCAAGCUCAAAACCCUUUACCGCUGAAGAAUUCCAAACUCAAACCCUUUACCUCUGAAGAAUUCCAAGCUCAAAGCCUUUUACCCCUGAAGAAUUCCAAGCUCAAAACCCUUUACCCCUGAAGAAUUCCAAGCUCUGGAAAAUUUCAAUCUCAAACCUCUUUACCCCUGAAGAAUUCCAAGCUCAAAACCCUUUACCCCUGAAGAAUUCCAAGUGCAAAACCCUUCACCCCUGAAGAAUUCCAAGCUCAAAACCCUUUACCCCUGAAGAAUUCCAAGCGCAAAACACUUUACCCCUGAAGAAUUCCAAGUUCAAAACCCUUUACCCCUGAAGAAUUCCAGGGAUCCUCGACAGGGGGGUACGGAUAUUAAAUGGAAUAGCCCAAUAUAUGUUGUCUGUAUGUGUACAGUCUUGCAGAUAACCAUUAAUAUAGCAAAGAAAGAAUAUUAAGAAACAACCAAAUAUAUCAGUAUCACUCACUCACCAUUCAGUAAUGCGCGAAUCAAAUCGAAACCUUGACAUCCCCCCCCCGGGCAUACCCCCGGGAAUUUGGAUUUUGACGUUUUGGUCAGG